rnacentral:rRNA from 1 species
UUCGCAAUGCCCGAAAGGGUGACGAAGCGACGCCGCGUGCGGGAAGAAGGCCUUCGGGUUGUAAACCGCUGUCGGGAGUUAAGAAGUGCAAGGGUGUUAAUAGCAUCUUUGCUUGACUAAGGCUCCGGAGGAAGCCACGGCUAACUCUGUGCCAGCAGCCGCGGUAAUACAGAGGCGGCAAGCGUUGUUCGGAAUUAUUGGGCGUAAAGAGCACGUAGGCGGCUAUGCAAGUCGGUUGUGAAAGCCUUCCGCUCAACGGAAGAACGGCAUCCGAUACUGCAUGGCUCGAGCGCGGGAGGGGAGAGUGGAACUUCUGGUGGAGCGGUGAAAUGCGUAGAUAUCAGAAGGAACACCGGCGGCGAAAGCGACUCUCUAGCCCGUAACUGACGCUGAGUGUGCGAAAGCUAGGGGAGCAAACGGGAUUAGAUACCCCGGUAGUCCUAGCCGUAAACGAUGGGCACUAAGUAGAGGGGUUUU